CCUACGGGUGGCAGCAGUGGGGAAUAUUGGACAAUGGGCGAAAGCCUGAUCCAGCCAUGCCGCGUGUGUGAAGAAGGCCUUCGGGUUGUAAAGCACUUUCAGUGGGGAAGAAAGCCUUGGGGCUAAUACCCUCGAGGAAGGACAUCACCCACAGAAGAAGCACCGGCUAACUCCGUGCCAGCAGCCGCGGUAAUACGGAGGGUGCGAGCGUUAAUCGGAAUUACUGGGCGUAAAGCGCGCGUAGGCGGUCUGAUAAGCCGGUUGUGAAAGCCCCGGGCUCAACCUGGGAACGGCAUCCGGAACUGUCAGGCUAGAGUGCAGGAGAGGAAGGUAGAAUUCCCGGUGUAGCGGUGAAAUGCGUAGAGAUCGGGAGGAAUACCAGUGGCGAAAGCGGCCUUCUGGACUGACACUGACGCUGAGGUGCGAAAGCGUGGGUAGCAAACAGGAUUAGAUACCCUUGUAGUC
rnacentral:rRNA from 1 species